rnacentral:lncRNA from 1 species
UUUCGUCGCUCCAAACUAAAGUUCCGUCGCUUUAGUCUUAAAUUCAAACGACAAAAGUCAAUGCAUCGGUUAGGUGAAUGAUAUAAUGCGACAAAAAAUUUCGUCGCUCAAGAGCUAAAAGUUCCAUCGCUUUAGACUAAAACUAAAGAGACGAAAUGUAAAUUUGUCAGUUAGGUUAAGGAUAUAAUGCGACAAACAAUUGUGUCGCUCAAGAGCCAAAAGUUUUGUCGCUUUAGACUAAAACUAAAGCGACUAAAUAUAAAUUUGUUGGUUAGGUUAAGGAUGUAAUGCGACAAACUUAUUCGUCGCUUAAGUGUUAACAUUUUCGUCGCUACAUAAAUAAUUUGAGACAAAAAGAAUUUUGUUGCCUUAGUAGGACCUGUGGCGACGAAGCUUAGGCGACAAAAAUAUUUCAUCGCCCCAGAAAAUUGUAGCGACGAAAAAUUUAUCUUCAGCGACGAUAUCUCUUUUCGUUGCUUAGGAGUUGCUUAAGCGACGAAAUGUGAAAGUACCCGUCCCUUAAGCCUUUUUUUCUAUUAGGGGGUGAUCUACGACGACUCAGCGUGGCGCGAAAACUUUUAGGUGGUGGCGGCGUGAUGGGUUUCGUGGGUUUCCUCUUUGAUCGCAUUUGUUUGGUGUGAUGGAGUUGAGGACUUUGUCAUGCUUGGUUGUGUAAAGGCAGGGGACGGCAGAGCUGAGCUAGUCGUUCUAGAUCGGGGCGGUGUGGUCGUGGUCAACUCCGUGAUGGACCUGCAUCGGCUUAGGGUUGGUUGCGCUCUGGAUGUUUGGGUUCAUAGAGGUGACGUUGAAAUAGAUCGGGCGACGUGGUCGGGUGAAUCUGGAAGUCAGAGAAGGCAGUGAGGUCCUCUGGUUCGAUGGUGAUGGAGUUCGGAUUCGAGCUGGCGACUAGCAGCGGUGGUUUGGUCAUGAUGACGGAAACCCUAACCUAAUAAAAAUCUAAGGGAGUUUGUUAGUGAGCUGGGCUUGGGUCUUACUGGCCUGAUGCUUGCUGGGUUGUAGGUGGCAUGGACCCAAGUAAUGGGAGUGAAACUGGACAGCUUUGGGCUUGGAAUGUUGGACUUGGGCUAAGAGGGGAGUAGUCACAAUUCCAAAAUGGGACAGAUCCCUAUGCUACAUCAUCAAUUUGAAUAGUCUACCGGCUUAGGGUUGGUCUCGCUUUGGAUGUUUGGGUUCAUAGAGGUGAUGCUGAAAUAGAUCGGGUGACGCGAUCAGGUGAAUAUUCUGGAAGUCAGAGAAGGUGGCGAGGUCCUCUAGUUCGAUGGUGAUGGAGUUUGGAUUCGAGCCGGCGACUAGCGGCGGUGGUUUUGGUCAUGAUGACAGAAACCCAAACCUAAUAAUUAAAAUAUAGGGGAGUUUAUUAGUGAGCUGGGCUUAGGUCUUGCUGGCCUGAUGCUUGCUAGGCUGUAGGUGGCAUGGACCCAGGUAAUGGGAGUGAAGCUGGACUUCUUUGGGCUUGGGAUGCUAGACUUAGGCUAAGCGGGGAGUAGUCACAAUUCCAAAAUAAGACAGAUCCCUAUGCUACAUCAUCAAUUUCAAUACUCU